UACAGAGGGGGCAAGCGUUGUUCGGAAUUACUGGGCGUAAAGGGCGCGUAGGCGGCCAUCUAAGUCAGACGUGAAAUCCCCGGGCUUAACCUGGGAACUGCAUUCGGGACUGCAUUGCUAGAGUAUGGGAGAGGGAAGUGGAAUUUCAGGUGUAGCGGUGAAAUGCGUAGAUAUCAGGAGGAACACCGGUGGCGAAGGCGGUUCUCUGGGCAUGACCUGACGCUGAGGAGCGAAAGUGUGGGGAGCGAACAGG
rnacentral:rRNA from 1 species